rnacentral:lncRNA from 1 species
GAAGUUAAAGAUAAAAAUAAAAAUUUCUCAAAAAAAUACUCCCCCAGUCCCUGAAAUAAGUUCAUCUUUUUCCUUUUUGGGACGUCCUCCAAAUAAGUAAUCUUUCUUUCUUUCCAUUUUUGGACAACUACCCAACCACUAAUAAUACUUUAUUUAUUCUUACUUUUCACUUUUUCACCACUCCCAAUACUAAUUAUAAUACAUUUUCACAUUUUCAC